rnacentral:rRNA from 1 species
UACGAAGGGGGCUAGCGUUGCUCGGAAUCACUGGGCGUAAAGCGCACGUAGGCGGACCAUUAAGUCGGAGGUGAAAGCCUGAGGCUCAACCUCAGAACUGCCUUCGAUACUGAUGGUCUUGAGUUUGGAAGAGGUUGGUGGAACUGCGAGUGUAGAGGUGAAAUUCGUAGAUAUUCGCAAGAACACCAGUGGCGAAGGCGGCCAACUGGUCCAAUACUGACGCUGAGGUGCGAAAGCGUGGGGAGCAAACAGG